GACGAACGCUGGCGGCGUGCCUAAUACAUGCAAGUCGAGCGGAAGUUGAAGAGCUUGCUCUUCAACUUUAGCGGCGGACGGGUGAGUAACACGUGGGCAACCUGCCCUGCAGAUCGGGAUAACUCCGGGAAACCGGUGCUAAUACCGAAUAGUUUUGGGUCCCUCCUGGGACCUAACGGAAAGACGGUUUCGGCUGUCACUGCAGGAUGGGCCCGCGGCGCAUUAGCUGGUUGGUGGGGUAACGGCCCACCAAGGCGACGAUGCGUAGCCGACCUGAGAGGGUGAUCGGCCACGCUGGGACUGGGACACGGCCCAGACUCCUACGGGAGGCAGCAGUAGGGAAUCUUCCGCAAUGGACGCAAGUCUGACGGAGCAACGCCGCGUGAGUGAUGAAGGUUUUCGGAUCGUAAAACUCUGUUGCGAGGGAAGAAACCGUGCCAAUUAACUACUGGCACCUUGACGGUACCUCGCCAGAAAGCCACGGCUAACUACGUGCCAGCCGCCGCAGUAA
rnacentral:rRNA from 1 species